CAUGGUCUAGCUAGCCUAUACAAGCAAAGCGAAUUUUAGUUUGAACCCCCGAAACUAAGUGAGCUACUUCGAAACAGUUUUAAGAACAAACCCGUCUCUGUAGCAAUAGAGUGGGGUGAUUUCCAAGUAGAGGUGACAAGCCUACCGCACUUAGAGAUAGCUGGUUACUCAAGAAAAGAAUCUAAGUUCAACCUUAAGUUUACUAAUUGCAAGAAAAACAAACAAGACUUAAGAGCCACUCAAACAAGGCACAGCUUGUUUGAAACAGGAUACAACCUUAAACAUCGGGUAAUAAUUAAGAACAAACACUAAGUGGGCCUAAAAGCAGCCACCUUUUAAAAAGCGUCAAAGCUUAAUAUUUAUUCUACCCUAAUUCCUUCACAUACCUUUAACCCGUCAACCAUAUUGAGUAAUUCCAUAAGCUUAUGGAAGAUAUAAUGCUAGAACUAGUAACAAGAAAAUCCUUUCUCCAAAGUGUAAGCCUGAGCCAUUAUUGAUGUACUACUGGCAAUUACCGCAAAUGAGUGCACUAUAGUAACCUAAACAAGAAAACCCUAUAAACCCCAACGUCAACCUUACACUAGAACACUUAUGGAAAGAUUAAAAGAAAAAGAAGGAACUCGGCAAAAUUUUACCCCGCCUGUUUAC
rnacentral:rRNA from 1 species